rnacentral:rRNA from 1 species
UACGUAGGGUGCGAGCGUUGUCCGGAAUUAUUGGGCGUAAAGAGCUCGUAGGCGGUCUGUCGCGUCGGUCGUGAAAACUUGGGGCUUAACCCUGAGCUUGCGGUCGAUACGGGCAUGACUGGAGUUCGGUAGGGGAGACUGGAAUUCCUGGUGUAGCGGUGAAAUGCGCAGAUAUCAGGAGGAACACCGGUGGCGAAGGCGGGUCUCUGGGCCGAUACUGACGCUCAGGCACGAAAGCGUGGGGAGCAAACAGG